rnacentral:piRNA from 1 species
UGCUGUUCGAUCAGUAGGGUGUAGGUGU